rnacentral:rRNA from 1 species
CUUUAGUUUGAUACCCCGAAACCAGGUGAGCUACCCCGAGACAGCCUAUAUAACUUAGGGCUAACCCGUCUCUGUGGCAAAAGAGUGGGAAGAGCUCCGGGUAGAAGUGACAGACCUACCGAACCUGGUGAUAGCUGGUUGCCUGAGAAGUGGAUAGAAGUUCAGCCCCGUACACCCCAAACCAAAAACAUUCUUCUUAAGAUACUAAGAGAUACAUACGGGAGUUAGUUAAAGGGGGUACAGCCCCUCUAACAAAGGAUACAACCUUCGCAGGAGAAUAAAGAUCACAAUAUUCAAAACAUCCUGUUCUAGUGGGCCUAAAAGCAGCCACCUAUACAGAAAGCGUUAAAGCUCAGACAGAAGAAAGUUUAUUAUACUGAUAAAAAAUCUUAUUUCCCUAAAAAUAUCAGGCUAGUCCAUGCCAACAUGGAAGAAAUUAUGCUAAAAUGAGUAACAAGAAGACACGUUCUUCUCCAAGCACAAGUGUAAACCAGAUCGGACAAACCACUGGAAAUUAACGAACCCAAACAAAGAGGGCAGUGUGGACAAUAAAGAAACCAGGAAAACCCCACAAUCAAACCAUCGUUAACCCCACACUGGAGUGCAUAUUUAAAGGAAAGACUAAAAGAAAGGGAAGGAACUCGGCAAACCCAAGCCUCGCCUGUUUACCAAAAACAUCGCCUCCUGCAACUAUAUUAAGUAUAGGAGGUCCAGCCUGCCCAGUGACUACGGGUUCAACGGCCGCGGUAUUUUGACCGUGCAAAGGUAGCGCAAUCACUUGUCUUUUAAAUAGAGACCUGUAUGAAUGGCUAAACGAGGGCUUAACUGUCUCCCCCUUCUGGUCAGUGAAAUUGAUCUAUCCGUGCAGAAGCGGGUAUAAUUAUACAAGACGAGAAGACCCUUUGGAGCUUAAGGUACAAAAUUCAACCACGUUAAACAACUCAACAAAAAGCAAGAACUUAGUGGAAAAUGAAAUUUUACCUUCGGUUGGGGCGACCGCGGAGGAAAACCCAGCCUCCGAGUGGAAUGGGCCAAACCCCCUAAAACCAAGAGAGACAUCUCUAAGCCACAGAACAUCUGACCAAAAAUGAUCCGGCUCUAAUAGCCGAUCAACGAACCAAGUUACCCUAGGGAUAACAGCGCAAUCCUCUCCCAGAGUCCAUAUCGACGAGGGGGUUUACGACCUCGAUGUUGGAUCAGGACAUCCUAAUGGUGCAGCCG